rfam:Synechococcus phage ACG-2014f isolate Syn7803TS44, complete genome.
UGGGGUCUAAUUAACCCCAUAGGAUGUGACAGAAUGAACCGUUUGGUUAAUACCGGUCAUUGUAUAGUAGGGAAGGCUGUGGUGGCCGCCAGAAAGACUAGGAGACUAGAGUUCUGAGAACCCAUACCAGGGUCCCGAAAGUUCAGAGGUAUUACUAUUCUUAGUAUGACCCCUCUGUUGGAGGUAAAAAGAUAAUCCUCCCAUCCACCCA